GGAUAGUCCAGGUCCUUAAUACACACUUUUAUACUCUAGUGAUUAUAGAUUUAUCCAGUGUAAAAAGCAGAUGCAAUCUCAGUUGUAAAAGUGAACCUUUAGAAAAAUCCGUCAGAGAAACAACUCUGGCAGAAUGGAUGGCAAAACUACUAGAAAAUAAGGAUAUUGUUUUGAACAAUAAACUGCCGUAAGACUCUCCAGUCUCUUGCAGGUUGACACCAAGUGUUAUUGACGACACCCACAGCCUGUAAAAUUGCAGAGAGACCCUCCUGGAUACAUCAGAGCCACUGCAAAAGGGUUGAGGUCCCGGGAAGCCCCAUCACUAAGGAGGAAGCACAUUGGGAAGGCCUCACCUACGUUUGGUUGCUUCGGGGGUGAGGGGGGGGUAGUGCGAUUGGGCCCCCGUUGGGUAAGCCUGCACUCCACUCUCUAUCCGAUCAACUUUAGGGCAGCCAGGUGCAGGUGUGAUGGACCAAUGUGCAACAAUGUGAAGGGGAAGCCUCAUGGUUACCUUGACUACAAAAGCUCACCCUUACAUCCAUCCUUGGAUGAAAAAUGCCUGAUACAGACCACAGAGAAAGACUGUUAUGUUAAACACCCUGGAACAAGUGCACAACAUCAUCAACAUCCUGAUCCAGGAAGAAGCCCUGAACUUUAACAAGUUUUAAAGAGACUGUUGAUCAUCAUUGAAUUUUUCUUGAUUUUAUUUUGCUUUUCUUUACUUAUGUUAUUCUUUGUUUAAAGCUGUAAUUUCACAGAUGAUAAGUUUAUCAUUCACAGCAUACGCAGAUGUACCAAAACCAGUGAAGACUUCUUUUCCUGUUUGUCAGAUGAAGAUGAAGUGUAACUUAUGAUGUAGUAACUGAGUUGCUUAUUGUACAUUUCAUUUCUCUGAUAAACAGGGCGGAAUGUUAAGAGAAUAUGGUAUAUAUGUGAUCAGCUACAUGAAAUGUAUUAUCAUUAAGCACAUUUCUACAUGACUCUUUACCUAGUAACUUGUGUGCUGAACUUAUGCAGAUACUAACCGCAUCCUGUUGUUCUGAACAUUUAGAUGUAGAGAAGACCAAGCUCAGCUCUUUUACGAGAACAUGCAAAUGAAGAGAAGGGGAAAAACCCGCUGCUCUAAAUGACGUUGUUACCUUUGUACACACACACACACACACACACACACACACACACACACACACACA
ensembl:lncRNA